GCCUGGCUGGCUCAGCGGGUAGAGCAUGUGACUACUGAUCUUAGGGUUGUGAGUUCGAGCUCCACGUUGGGUA
rfam:Felis catus isolate Cinnamon breed Abyssinian chromosome B1, whole genome shotgun sequence.